rnacentral:rRNA from 1 species
AGUCAAUAGAUACCCUGGUAGUCCCAGCAGUAAACGGUGCGCGUUUGGUGUGAGCAGAUUCGACUCUGUUCGCGCCGGAGCUAACGCGUUAAACGCGCCGCCUGGGAAGUACGAUCGCAAGAUUAAAACUCAAAGAAAUUGACGGGGGCCUGCACAAGCGGUGGAGUAUGUGGCUUAAUUCGAUGCAACGCGAAGAACCUUACCUGGGUUUGACAUGCAUCUCUAAGGAGGUGAAAGCUUCCGAGGGUAGCAAUACCCGAUUUGCACAGGUGCUGCAUGGCUGUCGUCAGCUCGUGUCGUGAGAUGUUGGGUUAAGUCCCGCAACGAGCGCAACCCUUGUAUGCUGUUGCUAUGCUUACGCAUAGCUCUCUGCGUAGACUGCCCCGUGAAACGGGGAGGAAGGUGGGGAUGACGUCAAGUCAGCAUGGCCCUUACACCCAGGGCUGCACACGUACUACAAUGCUCAGUACAAUUAGAACCUGCCCCGCGAGGGUUGGGAAA